GAUGAACGCUGGCGGCGUGCCUAAUACAUGCAAGUCGAGCGAACAGAUGAGGAGCUUGCUCCUCUGACGUUAGCGGCGGACGGGUGAGUAACACGUGGAUAACCUAUCUAUAAGACUGGGAUAACUUCGGGAAACCGGAGCUAAUACCGGAUAAUAUAUUGAACCGCAUGGUUCAAUAGUGAAAGACGGUUUUGCUGUCACUUAUAGAUGGAUCCGCGCCGCAUUAGCUAGUUGGUAAGGUAACGGCUUACCAAGGCAACGAUGCGUAGCCGACCUGAGAGGGUGAUCGGCCACACUGGAACUGAGACACGGUCCAGACUCCUACGGGGGGCAGCAGUAGGGAAUCUUCCGCAAUGGGCGAAAGCCUGACGGAGCAACGCCGCGUGAGUGAUGAAGGUCUUCGGAUCGUAAAACUCUGUUAUUAGGGAAGAACAAAUGUGUAAGUAACUAUGCACGUCUUGACGGUACCUAAUCAGAAAGCCACGGCUAACUACGUG
rnacentral:rRNA from 1 species